CUUACGCACUCCUACGGGAGGCAGCAGUGGGGAAUAUUGCACAAUGGGGGAAACCCUGAUGCAGCCAUGCCGCGUGUGUGAAGAAGGCCUUCGGGUUGUAAAGCACUUUCAGCGAGGAGGAAAGGUCAGUAGCUAAUAUCUGCUGGCUGUGACGUUACUCGCAGAAGAAGCACCGGCUAACUCCGUGCCAGCAGCCGCGGUAAUACGGAGGGUGCAAGCGUUAAUCGGAAUUACUGGGCGUAAAGCGCACGCAGGCGGUUGGAUAAGUUAGAUGUGAAAAGCCCCGGGCUCAACCUGGGAAUUGCAUUUAAAACUGUCCGGCUAGAGUCUUGUAGAGGGGGGUAGAAUUCCAGGUGUAGCGGUGAAAUGCGUAGAGAUCUGGAGGAAUACCGGUGGCGAAGGCGGCCCCCUGGACAAAGACUGACGCUCAGGUGCGAAAGCGUGGGGAGCAAACAGGAUUAGAUAACCUGGUAG
rnacentral:rRNA from 1 species